UACGAAGGGGGCUAGCGUUGUUCGGAAUUACUGGGCGUAAAGCGCACGUAGGCGGAUCGAUCAGUCAGGGGUGAAAUCCCAGAGCUCAACUCUGGAACUGCCUUUGAUACUGUCGAUCUAGAGUAUGGAAGAGGUGAGUGGAAUUCCGAGUGUAGAGGUGAAAUGCGCAGAUAUCGGGAGGAACACCCGUAGCGAAGGCGGCACUCUGGGCCGGAACUGACGCUGAGGAGCGAAAGCGUGGGGAGCAAACAGG
rnacentral:rRNA from 1 species